rnacentral:rRNA from 1 species
GACGAACGCUGGCGGCGUGCUUAACACAUGCAAGUCGAACGGUAAGGCUCCAGCUUGCCGGGGUACACGAGUGGCGAACGGGUGUGUAACACGUGGGUGACCUGCCCUGCACUUCGGGAUAAGCCUGGGAAACUGGGUCUAAUACCGGAUAGGACCAUGGUGUGGAUACUGUGGUGGAAAGCUUUUUCGGUUUGGGAUGGGCCCGCGGUCUAUCAGCUUGUUGGUGGGGUUAUGGCCUACCAAGGCGGCGACGGGUAGCCGACCUGAGAGGGGGGGCGGCCACCUUGGGACUGAGCCACGGCCCAGACUCCUACGGUAGGCAACGGUGGGGAAUAUUGCACAGUGGGCGGAAGCCUGAUGCAGCGACGCCGCGUGGGGGAUGACGGCCUUCGGGUUGUAAACUCCUUUCACCAUAGACGAAGGGUUUCUGACGGUAGAUAGAGAAGAAGCACCGGCUAACUACGUG